CGGACCCACCUGAUUCCAUGCCGAACUCAGAAGUGAAACGCAAUAGCGCCGAUGGUAGUGUGGGGCUUCCCCAUGUGAGAGUAGGACAUCGCCAGGC
rnacentral:rRNA from 1 species